rnacentral:rRNA from 1 species
CCUUAGGCAAAUCCGGGACCCUUUAUGCCGAGCACCGAGACGAGCCCUAUUGGGCGAAGUGACUGACACCACGCUUCCAGGAAAAGCCACUAAGCUUCAGCUAUAGAAGAACCGUACCGCAAACCGACACUGGUAGGCAGGGUGAGAAUCCCAAGGCGCUUGAGAGAACUCGGGUGAAGGAACUAGGCAAAAUGGCACCGUAACUUCGGGAGAAGGUGCGCCCUUUAGCGUGGUCACAUGCGUGACUGAGCGUUGAAGGGUCGCAGUAACCUGGCCGCUGCGACUGUUUAUCAAAAACACAGCACUCUGCAAACACGAAAGUGGACGUAUAGGGUGUGACGCCUGCCCGGUGCUGGAAGGUUAAUUGAUGGGGUCAGCCGCAAGGCGAAGCUCUUGAUCGAAGCCCCAGUAAACGGCGGCCGUAACAAUAACGGUCCUAAGGUAGCGAAAUUCCUUGUCGGGUAAGUUCCGACCUGCACGAAUGGCGUAACGACAGCGGCGCUGUCUCCACCCGAGACUCAGUGAAAUUGAAUUCGCUGUGAAGAUGCAGCGUUCCCGCGGCAAGACGGAAAGACCCCGUGAACCUUUACUAUAGCUUUACAUUGAACGUUGAGUUCUUCUGUGUAGGAUAGGUGGGAGGCUUUGAAGUGCAGGCGCUAGCUUGCAUGGAGCCAACCUUGAAAUACCACCCUGAAGUGCUUGACGUUCUAACCUCGACCCGUCAUCCGGGUCAGGGACCAUGUAUGGUUGGUAGUUUGACUGGGGCGGUCUCCUCCCAAAGAGUAACGGAGGAGCACGAAGGUACGCUCAGCGCGGUCGGACAUCGCGCACUGUGUGCAAUGGCAUAAGCGUGCUUGACUGCGAGAUCGACGGAUCAAGCAGGUACGAAAGUAGGUCAUAGUGAUCCGGUGGUUCUGUAUGGAAGGGCCAUCGCUCAACGGAUAAAAGGUACUCCGGGGAUAACAGGCUGAUACCGCCCAAGAGUUCAUAUCGACGGCGGUGUUUGGCACCUCGAUGUCGGCUCAUCACAUCCUGGGGCUGUAGCCGGUCCCAAGGGUAUGGCUGUUCGCCAUUUAAAGAGGUACGCGAGCUGGGUUCAGAACGUCGUGAGACAGUUCGGUCCCUAUCUGUCGUGGGCGUUGGAGAUUUGAGGGGGGCUGCUCCUAGUACGAGAGGACCGGAGUGGACGUUCCGCUGGUGUUCGGGUAGUCAUGCCCAUGGCAUUGCCCGGCAGCUAUGAACGGAAGUGAUAACCGCUGAAAGCAUCCAAGCGGGAAGCACGCCCCAAGAUGAGAUCUCCCGAGAGCUUGACUCUCCUUAAGGCACCAUCAAGACCAGGUGGUUGAUAGGUCAGGUGUGGAAGUGCAGCAAUGCAUGGAGCUAACUGAUACUAAUGAGCCGUGAGGCUUGACC